ACAGUUAACGGUUCUUGGGGGAAGCAGAGUCGUUUUCUUCAGCAUCAUGGCCACUGGUGUGCUGCCCAUGCUUCAGUAAACAAUGUCCCACUCGUGUUCAUGCAGGUGACACUACACAAUGCAGUGGACCCACCCAACAGACCCAACAGACGAGGAGACCACCAGGACAAGAUGAUCUUUAAAGCCUGUGGUGUGUUUACUUGAAGUGGAAUGACUGUGUCAGCCUGAAAGGACCACAUAAUACCUCAUCAUCCACUCUCUUCCAUCAAGUGACAGCAGAUUCUCAAACAGGAAGCAUUCGUGAGGCAUUGGUCUACCUUUCGACGUUACUGGAAAAGGCAAACUAUGUCUACUUCCGUCAAUGUUGCUGAGGCCUCCAGUGAAUGAAACUUCAAUCCCCAAGUGCCUGUCAUGGUCUGGAUGAGUCUUCAGCCUUUGCACUCCAACCAGUACCAAGACUCCUUCACAGCCUCUUACCUGGGGGAACCAAAGAAGCUGCCCAUUUGGACUAAGAACUGCUUAAAUCCUUCUAAACCCUUUGCUCAUGUCAGCAGGUGCCUUUCCUGCCUGGGCAUUGUUUCCUGGGCAUCCAGGCAAAACGAGGUCUUCUUCCUGAAUUCUGGCUACACUGACCUCAAGCCACUUGUUCAGCUCAGAAGGCAGGAUUUUCAGGGCUCAUUAAGGCCUUUCCUCAGCUGCAAAGCCCUGACAAGACCUUGGGCUCUGUGCUUUGCUUCAGUAAUGGAAAUGACUAUUGGCAAGUGUGGAAAUUGGCCUAUAAACCUGGACUUCAAUGGUGCCAAAUUACUACCUGUUUCUGUUUGCAUUGUCAGGAUCUGGACUGAGCGUUCCCACAGAGGGAUGGCUGGAAUGAAGGGCCAUCAAGGGCAGGGGAAGGUGCCUGAGUGACAAAACUGUUUUGGGGAAAAUUAGGGGUGGUUAAGUAAUCUUUCCAUUUUCAUGCAAAGAGAAGUAGCUCAGAAAUACCAGCCAGUGUGCUUUAGUGCUUAGGCGAAUGGGCUUCUCUCUGUACCAUCCAUGGGAGGCUCAUGUUUCUUCUUGUACUUUUGCAGGACCAAACAGAGCUCCUUAAAAGCUGUGAUUGUAAAUUCAGGGUGAAUGAACAUAUGCUAAAUAAGGUCUCCUGCU